UGGGGAAUAUUGCACAAUGGGCGCAAGCCUGAUGCAGCGACGCCGCGUGGGGGAUGACGGCCUUCGGGUUGUAAACUCCUUUCGCCAGGGACGAAGCGUUUUGUGACGGUACCUGGAGAAGAAGCACCGGCUAACUACGUGCCAGCAGCCGCGGUAAUACGUAGGGUGCAAGCGUUGUCCGGAAUUACUGGGCGUAAAGAGCUCGUAGGUGGUUUGUCGCGUCGUCUGUGAAAUUCCACAGCUUAACUGUGGGCGUGCAGGCGAUACGGGCAUAACUUGAGUACUGUAGGGGUAACUGGAAUUCCUGGUGUAGCGGUGAAAUGCGCAGAUAUCAGGAGGAACACCAAUGGCGAAGGCAGGUUACUGGGCAGUUACUGACGCUGAGGAGCGAAAGCAUGGGUAGCAAACAGGAUUAGAUACCCUGGUAGUCCAUGCCGUAAACGGUGGGCGCUAGGUGUAGGGGCCUUUUGGGGUUUCUGUGCCGUAGCUAACGCAUUAAGCGCCCCGCCUGGGGAGUACGGCCGCAAGGCUA
rnacentral:rRNA from 1 species